GCCGGAGUGGCGGAAUUGGUAGACGCGACGGAUUCAAAAUCCGUUAUCCGCAAGGAUGUGGGGGUUCGAGUCCCCCCUCCGGCACCA
rnacentral:tRNA from 1 species